AACGAACGCUGGCGGCAUGCCUAACACAUGCAAGUCGAACGAGACCUUCGGGUCUAGUGGCGCACGGGUGCGUAACGCGUGGGAACCUGCCCUUAGGUUCGGAAUAACUCCCCGAAAGGGGUGCUAAUACCGGAUAAUGUCUUCGGACCAAAGAUUUAUCGCCUUUGGAUGGGCCCGCGUUGGAUUAGCUAGUUGGUAGGGUAAAAGCCUACCAAGGCGACGAUCCAUAGCUGGUCUGAGAGGAUGAUCAGCCACACUGGGACUGAGACACGGCCCAGACUCCUCCGGGAGGCAGCAGUGGGGAAUAUUGGACAGUGGGCGAAAGCCUGAUCCAGCAAUGCCGCGUGAGUGAUGAAGGCCUUAGGGUUGUAAAGCUCUUUUACCCGGGAUGAUAAUGACAGUACCGGGAGAAUAAGCUCCGGCUAACUCCGUG
rnacentral:rRNA from 1 species